AUGGCGUCGGGGGGCGCGCAGAUGGAAGUCGAGCGGCGGCUGCGCGACGUCGCCGCGCGCUUCGUCUCGCUCCCGGAGUCCAACAAGGAGCUGCAAGCGUUGCUCGAGGAAGCUGAGAUCUGGUUGUCCAGGGUGGACCAGUCGCCACCCGAUAGCACGCGCACUGCUAUUCGGCCCAUGAUGGAUGCUUUGGUCAGAGAGGAUCUGCUAAACCACCCUCAUCCAGGGGUUAAGGUUGGUAUAGCAUGUUGCCUAACCGAGGUUACCAGGGUCUCUGCACCAGAUCCCCCUUAUGACGACGAUGUGAUGAGGGGUGUGUUCACAGUGGUUGUGGAUGCUUUCGGCAAGCUGGAUGAUACCAAAAGCCCAUUGUUUGCAAAGCGAGUUUCAAUGUUGGAAACCAUCGCCAAGGUCAGGUCUUGCGUCCUAAUGUUGGACCUUGACUGUGACGACUUGAUCCAGGAAACAUUCACACACUUUUUCAGGAUCAUAAGCCCAACACUUCAAGAAAGUGUCAUCACCUCUAUGGAAACUAUAAUGAUGUUUGUAAUCCAGGAGAGUGAGCCUGUCCAUCCAGGUCUGGCAUCUUGCCUCCUUCAGAAUCUUAAAAAGGAAAGGAAGGAUUCUCAUCUAGCAUCUUAUCGGCUUGCAAAGAGGAUAACACGUCUUUGUCCUGAAAAAUUAAAGCCGGCAUUUGCUGAGUUACUUCAGGGCACUCCCUUAGAUGAGUACAGCAAAGUUGUUGCAUCUUCGGUAGAAAGUUCUUCAGAUGCUGGAAGAGACAACAACAUUGACGCUGUUGAAAAUGACACGGAAUCUUCAAAGUCAGAGAAAGAUGGACAAGAUGGAAGUCCUACAAACAGUACUCCAAAUGGAUUAGCUUCUUCUGAACAGAAAUCUGAACUGCCUACUGAUGAUAAGAAAACAGCAGUUUCUGAUGACAAGGGGGCACCAGAACCAGUCACCGCAGAGACCGAAAAGCUAUCUGGUGUCAACUCAAAGAAAAGCAGUAAGGUUGGCACUUCCACUGAGUCCAAGGUGACUGAACAUUCUAAGGUUGCUAGCGAUAACCAGGACCUUGCAUCUGGGGAGCUGUCACCAGGGGCAAAUGGUGGCAAUAAUAAGCAGACGGUCGAGGCUUGCAACAAAGUGACAGAUGAUACGUCAAAGCCUCUUGAUAGUACACCUGCUGAUGACACAUCAAAGCCUGCUGAUAGUACACCUGCUGUAGAUAAACCAAAGCGAGACCGGCCUCCUGCAGUAAAGUCACAGGAGAAGAAGCCUGUUGGGAAGAGUCAAGGAUCAGGUCUAGAAUCUAAAGAAGUCCGCUCAGGCAGUACUUCUGGUGGAAGACCUGCAAGAAGACCCGCUAAAGAUAACAAAUUAUCAUCAAGAAAGUCCAGUGAAGAAGAAUCUUCAAAGAAGCAACCAACGGCCAGUUCCGAUCUGCGGAAAGAGGACACUCCCUCUGACGAAGACACUGAUGAAGAUCUCAGGUUGAAGGAAAUGGCGUCUCCUAAAUCAUCGACCAAGACGGGAAAAAGCAAAGGCCAACCAGGGGACAGUGGAGUGUCAAAAAGGAAACUUGUGCAGGAAGCUGAAGAGGUUCCUCAGUCAAAGAAGACCAAAGUUUUUGAUGGGAGCCUUGUUGGCUCAAGAAUCAAAGUGUGGUGGCCUGAUGACAAAAAGUUCUAUAAGGGUGCUGUUAAGUCAUUUGACGCUUCUGCAAAAAAGCACAAGGUUGUGUAUGAUGACGGUGAUAUUGAACAUCUGCAACUUAAGAAUGAAAGAUGGGAGUUCAUUGAUGAGGAGCAAGACGAGAAUCCUAAUGCAGCAUCUGAUAUCAGGUCUCGUGGUAGGAGAGGCAAGCAGGACAGCACUGGUGACAGCAAUCCUUCCAGGAAAAGAGGGCGUCCGAAAGUUGUGCGUGAGGAUAGCCCUGUGACUUCAGCCAAAUCGAAGGUGAAGACUGCAGAAAAGGAUGCUGAAGGUGGGGGGAGGUGGCCUCGAUCUGCUGGCAAGGGAAGCAGCAAGGAUGAGGCUGGCGGCAAGACUCCAAAAGGCGCAAGCGCUGUGAAAGCUUCUGAUGGAUCCAAGAGCAACGGUCUUUCAGGCAAACGGAAGCCCAAGGAGAAAGUACCAGAGUCAUCUGAUGAAGAGGAGGAAGAAGAAGAGCCGGUGUCUGCUAAGGCGUCCACAGGGAAGAAGCGCAGAAGGAAGAUGCUCAACUAG
rnacentral:rRNA from 1 species